rnacentral:tRNA from 1 species
UGGGAUGUAGCUCAGUGGUAAAGCACUUGCCUAACAUGUUUGAGGCCCUGGGUUUAAUCCCAGCAUCUCAA